AGUUCACGAAAGUUGUCUGUCAGGCCGGGACCAGUCGAGUCCUUACCCAGCAAAGACCCAGGGACCCAGAGUGGCCGGGUACAUCCCAUCGCGCCUGGCUCACUCAGGCAGGGAUGGAAGAAAGGCUUUCUGCCAAGUGAGCUUUGGUUACUGUCAGAAAAGGAAAGAAGAAAGAAAGGAAAAACAAAAACAAAAACAACUUACCAAUUUGUUUGCAGUUGGGGCUGAAGUCAGCGGAGGUGAUGGCAGCUUUGUGACCUUUAAAAGAACGUUCCAGAAUCGGAUCCUCCUAGGAUGGAAAGUUGUUAGGUUUGAAAGCAGGUGCAGAAUUCCAGCUCUCGACAUCAGACGUCAACGUUGCCUGUCCCCCGGGAUCGAAGAGGAGGACCCCGCAGCAUCAGCGGGCAGCGAGAGAGGCGUGGGCAUUACAACCCGGCUGAGAGGCUCGGGCACUGCCCCAGCUUCCAUCCGGAGGGGUCCCCACCAUCGGGAGGAACCCCCAGCCCAGGCACCAGGGCGAGCCGCCGAGGGACCCGCCCACCGCACCGAGCUGCAGAUGCUCGCCGAAGCCUCCCGCGCUCUUUAAACCUCCCUGGUGAUUCUGACGCAGGCGCGCCGCGGGAACCCAGCCGGCGAGUCCCGGAGCCAGCUCCGCCUCAGCCCCGAGCGCCGGGAUCUCUCCGGGAGCAGCGCUCACCGCUCAACCCGGGCACGGCGUCCCGCUCCGGGGAGGUGAGCGAGCUGCGGAGCUCCGGGUCUCGGGGCUACCUCCCAGGCCUGCCAGACUCGGCGUGGUUCCCCUCCUCCCGGUCCCGCCGCCCAAGGAUGAUCGGCUCCGGUAGCGGCGGGGACCUUACCAGGCCGGAGGCCAUGCGGGGAGCGGACGGCGCCCGGGGCCUUGGGGGACCAGGGAGGGGUGGGGACGAGGGGGGACCGUGCGGCGCCCGGAACCGUCAGACUGGAGUGCGGGCGCUUCCCGGUCACUACAACAACGGCGGCCCAAUCAAAGCCCGCGCUCCAGGCGUGGCCAGACGAGCCCCGAGACGCCGCGCGCGCGCGCGCUGCCGACAGCCGAGAGCCUGGCGGGAGCGCGCCGCGGGGGGUCCGCCGCGCGCGCACACAGCGAGCCCCGCGAGCUUCGGAGGUAGCGGACUACCGGGUUGUUGUCGGGAAGCGGGUUGGGACUUGGAGAGAGAGAGAGAUGUGAUCGGUGGUGGCGAAGCGGAGGAGAGUCGGUGAUCGAUGCAAUCAGGAUUCUAUUACACCUUAAAGAGAACGGCGCCCAACUCGGCUACUCCGGAGAGGGGAGCUUGGGUGCACAAGCUAGACAGUAACAGGACGUUGAGCGGGACUAAGUUCCUUGUGUUCAAUUACUGGUUUUGCACGUACUAUAGAUACAAAUGCUGGCAGCACAUGAUGGGUAAUAUUUUAUUCACAUGUUCACCCUGUUUUUCUUUAUUCAAUAGUAUUCUAUUAUCUAUUUGAUUUAUUCUGUUCUCAACCGCUUGUUUGCAUAUGCCUUAUUAAACUCACACACACACCUGAAGUGGUCGGAAGACUUGGAAACUUUAAAGUUUCUAGACCACGUGGUUACAAUAACGGUCCCCACUUUAGACUUUUUUUUUUCCCCACACAUACUAUCAUUUGUGCUUCAGCAACAGGGUUUCAAAGCUAGAGAAUGUUGUCGGUGGCAGUUUGUACAUGGAAGGCCACAUUUUGAUGCUUCUUCAUACCCCUCGACAACAAACAACAGCAUUAAACCCUGCCCCGGAGCAUAAAAGACUCAGCUGAAAAUUACAUACGGAACACAACUUCUUGGCAGUGGAAUGUCGUGAUAAACUGGUAAGGUACAUGUUGUGUGUAAAUAAAAAGUGUAGUAAUUACAGGUUCCCUCGCUGUAUUUGCGUUUAGUCUUAACCACUAUAUAGCAAUUAUGUAAGUGCAAUACCGUAUUAGUUUGACACAUGGGUGGAUGUUAAAUAUCUGUUAUAUGUUUGACACCAAGGGCUAAACUUUGUUAUAAACAAAACAAACCCCUGAAUGCCAACAUAGUUCCCUCCCCUCAAGAACUUGGCACUGGGAUGUAGCUCAGUUGGAGAGUGCCUAAUGAACUAAACCCUUGCUUGUAUUCCCAGCGCCCUCAUCAACACAACCUGGCAUCAGUAACUAUAGCCCUGGGGAGGUGGAGGCAGGAGGAUCAGAGGCAUAAGGUUGUCCUUGGCUAUACUGUGAGUUUGAUGCCAGUCUAAGCUACAUGAACUCUGUUAAGCAAAUAAAAAACAGACGACAA
rnacentral:lncRNA from 1 species